UACGGAGGGGGCUAGCGUUAUUCGGAAUCAUUGGGCGUAAAGGGCGUGUAGGCGGCUUUGUAAGUCCCGUGUGGAAGCCCUCGGCUCAACCGAGGAAUUGCAUGGGAAACUGCGGAGCUUGAGUCCGGGAGAGGAGAGCGGAAUUCCCAGUGUAGCGGUGAAAUGCGUAGAUACUGGGAGGAACACCGGUGGCGAAGGCGGCUCUCUGGACCGGUACUGACGCUGAGACGCGAAAGCUAGGGGAGCAAACGGG
rnacentral:rRNA from 1 species